AGUGAACGCUGGCGGUAGGCCUAACACAUGCAAGUCGAACGGCAGCACAGUAAGAGCUUGCUCUUACGGGUGGCGAGUGGCGGACGGGUGAGGAAUACAUCGGAAUCUACUUUUUCGUGGGGGAUAACGUAGGGAAACUUACGCUAAUACCGCGUACGACCUACGGGUGAAAGCAGGGGAUCUUCGGACCUUGCGCGAUUGAAUGAGCCGAUGUCGGAUUAGCUAGUUGGCGGGGUAAAGGCCCACCAAGGCGACGAUCCGUAGCUGGUCUGAGAGGAUGAUCAGCCACACUGGAACUGAGACACGGUCCAGACUCCUACGGGAGGCAGCAGUGGGGAAUAUUGGACAAUGGGCGCAAGCCUAAUCCAGCCAUACCGCGUGGGUGAAGAAGGCCUUCGGGUUGUAAAGCCCUUUUGUUGGGAAAGAAAAGCAGCAGGUUAAUACCCCGCUGUUCUGACGGUACCCAAAGAAUAAGCACCGGCUAACUUCGUG
rnacentral:rRNA from 1 species